GAUGAACGCUGGCGGCGUGCCUAAUACAUGCAAGUCGAGCGAACGGACGAGAAGCUUGCUUCUCUGAUGUUAGCGGCGGACGGGUGAGUAACACGUGGAUAACCUACCUAUAGGACUGGGAUAACUUCGGGAAACCGUAGCUAAUACCGGAUAAUAUUUUGAACCGCAUGGUUCAAAAGUGAAAGACGGUCUUGCUGUCACUUAUAGAUGGAUACGCGCUGCAUUAGCUAGUUGGUAAGGUAACGGCUUACCAAGGCAACGAUGCAUAGCCGACCUGAGAGGGUGAUCGGCCACACUGGAACUGAGACACGGUCCAGACUCCUACGGGAGGCAGCAGUAGGGAAUCUUCCGCAAUGGGCGAAAGCCUGACGGAGCAACGCCGCGUGAGUGAUGAAGGUCUUCGGAUCGUAAAACUCUGUUAUUAGGGAAGAACAUAUGUGUAAGUAACUGUGCACAUCUUGACGGUACCUAAUCAGAAAGCCACGGCUAACUACGUG
rnacentral:rRNA from 1 species